CAUUGUGUUCUACAUAUGUACUGUUCUGCAUUAAUGCUGUCAUCACAGAAGUGUAAAUUACCUUUGCCAAGGGCAUUGACACAACCCCAGACCAUGA